CUCAAAACUUCUCGAGCCAAUACGUAGGCCCCAAUCCUUGACACCAGUCAAACAAUCGAUUCUACAACAACCAGUGCAUUUUAAUCAAUUUUAAAGUACUACACCUAAUUAUGAAAUUUAUUGAUGAUAUAGAGGAAGAAGGGAAUUAGCUAUUUAAUUCUUACAUAUUACUACUGUAGGGUAAUUGACAAUAGGAGAUUUUACAUACCUGAGUUCAAGAAUAAAUGAGUUAUGAAGAACCCUAGGAUUUUUAUUCGUUGCCUGUGUGCUCUGUUCGUGAGCGAACAGAACUCAGUGUUCUGUUUUUCGUCUAAGGCAGGCAAAAGCCUUUACCCUUUUUGAAGAAUCAUGGGUUCUGUUUCUCCGAG
rnacentral:lncRNA from 1 species